AAAUUACUCCCUCCGUCCCAAAAUUCUUAUCUUAGAUUUGUAUAGAUACGGAUGUAUCAAGUCACAUUUUAGUAUUAGAUACAUCCAUAUCUAAACAAAUCUAAGACAAGAAAUUUGGGACAGAUGGAGUAGUUG
rnacentral:pre_miRNA from 1 species